rnacentral:lncRNA from 1 species
AUCGAUAACUCGACCAAAUGUGACCUAGAUCACGCAUCAAGAUCGUUUUAAUGCUUUUGAUAUUAAUUUUUACAUGCAUUAUCACGGACGGCGCCGAGUAUAAUUCCUUGGCCGAUUUCGUGACAAUGAGUAAACGAGGAGCAAACCUGGGUUGGAGAAGUUGGAAGUCAGCGGAGUCUUUCGACAAUUUUCAACGGGUUCGGGGCGAAUAUAAAAGGGAAAUUGAGCUUUCGGGACGAAACGAGGGUCUAAGGCGAACAGGAAACCAUUAGUUCACAGGAAAAAGGGUGAAAUUAUUGAUGUCAAAUGGUGCCACUUGGCCAGACAUGCGAAUAAUGCCGCUUCUCCGCUCACGCCUUUAUACAUAUACGCAAACUGCGUUUCGUUCCAACCAGGGACCAUAAUUGUUCCAAUCAAAAUUAAGAAAGAACGUCGUGCAGAAUGGUUUACGCCUUCAAAUGUCAUAAUCUUCUUCUCUACGACUUGUACGAGGUAAGCGGCUGCCCACGUAUCGUUAGAUUUGAGGAUCCCUGUGCACCCCGUUGCUUAGGCUGACCUAAUUUCGUUCAUGUAAGGAGGUUUGCCCGCAUACAGGGAUCUUUCGACCGAUUUUUAAUUGUCAAUAACUAAAAUACAAAGCCGAAAAUGCAAUUUUUUUA